GCAGAUCAGCCGGCAGGUGGGCCUCAGAGAAACGUGAACUUGGAAGGACAGUCUUGGAAUGGAAAUAGCCUCCCAGCCAGUCUCCCUGUCUUCCGCUGUCACUCCACCUUUCUGCUGUCCUAGGGCUCAGCAGCUCACUUGCGCCCAACUCUUUUGUGAUUCCACAGACUGCAGUCCUCCAGGCUCCUCUGCCCAUGGAAUUUUCCAGGCAAGAGUGCUAGGGAUCCCUUGCCUCAGCCAUGGGAGCAAGACUGCUACAGGAAGAGAGAAUAAGCCCAGGCUAGUCUGCAGAGGAGAACCAAUUCAUCCCAUCUGAGGCCACACUGGAUCCACCAGCCCCCAGUUCAGCCACCAGCUGCCCCUAGAGUAAGCCCAGCUGAGUUCAGACAAGACUGGCCUAAGUCAUCAGAAUUCCCCAUCUAACCUA
ensembl:lncRNA